rnacentral:rRNA from 1 species
UACAGGGGGUGCAAACGUUGCUCGGAAUCAUUGGGCGUAAAGCGCACGUAGGCGGUUCGUUAUGUCGGAUGUGAAAGCCCUUGGCUUAACCGAGGAAGUGCAUCCGAAACUGGCGAGCUAGAGUACUAAAGAGGAUCGCGGAAUUCCCGGUGUAGAGGUGAAAUUCGUAGAUAUUGGGAGGAACACCGGUGGCGAAGGCGGCGAUCUGGGUAGAUACUGACGCUGAGGUGCGAAAGCGUGGGGAGCAAACAGG